UCCGCUCUCUCUCUGCACCUCUCCGUCUCCACUCGAUCUCUCUCUACCUCUCUCUCCCUCCCUCUCCACUCUCGAACUCAUCACCGACACUCUCCCUCUCUCUGCCAUCUCUGUCUCUCUCAGUCUCUCUCUCCGUUUGCAGAUCUAAGACAGCAGAGCGAUGAGAGAUUGCAGCUGAGAUUUCAUCAUCGGACGGCGUUCUUGCUAUCCAAACCUCAUUUCCAUCUAAGGUUUUUGACCAAAGGUGGUAUGAUGAUUUUAGCGACAUGGUUGAGCAAAGCAGCUCUUGAAGAACAAACAACUGUUAUUCUUAUCAUUUUUAAGUUAGGUCCUCUUUAAGCUGGAUUGGGCUUGGGCUGACCCUCUGGUUGGAAUUGGUCAGGUCAAGUAUGGUUACCUGAUUUGGCAAUUCUGCUUCUAUCCUUGUGCUUCCCUAUUGGAAUGUAACUCUUUAGAGAUGGAAACCUCUCGUUACAAAUAUCAUGUGGAUGAACUUACCUUGUUCAGGCAAGUAUCUAUUUUCUCUUAUGCAAUGUGUUUCUAAAAUUUAUCAUCAUCACUAGAAAAAGGUAACAGUGUCUUUUUGCCAUUGUCUAAUCUUUUAUUUUCCCUUGAACAGCUUUUACCCUGCUUUCAGAGCUUGGUAGUUUCAAGUUAAAAUCCAUUCAUUACACUAGUAAUCGUAAUUAAAUUUGAUCCAAACAUGCCCUUAAAUUGUCUUUUAAGAUGUCAUGUUGCAAUAACAAUGUACUCAAAACAAUGGAUUUCAUGACGAGCGGUCCAGAUGAUGGUUCUAAUGCAUAUGUGAUCAUAACAAAAACAAGUACGACAACUCAUCAGGUGGGCCACUCAUUUAUGAAAAAAAUAAAAACUGAUUUAGAAUUAAAUAGAAAUUGGUCACAUACCCAGCU